rnacentral:lncRNA from 1 species
AAAAUCCAUGGCAACCGUGACUCGAGGGGGUUUUAGCAAGCCUGGAGGUCAAGUUUGAAAUUUGUUUCCUGAAAGAGCCCACUGCAACGAUUUUUAGAAACAGCAGGAUAUACAAACCCUCAAAAUCUCAAAAACGCUAAAAUCAUUGAACAGAGCAAAUAAGCAGUGCAAGCUUCUAAAGGUUAGUGUUCACCAACAUCUCUUGUAUUCGUUACUUGUUUUGAUUUGUCUUCUUAUAUCUUUAUUCAUCAGAAAUUUCAUUUCCUUUCAUAUACUCUAUCAAUGUAGCCUACAAUUUAGGUUCUGGUACGCUUAAGAGUCCUCGUGUUGCAAAUGAGAGUCGAUUGACGAAUCCACUUAAGGUUUGCUGGUUGUUUUACCGUACCAAAGAUUAGGAAUCCCGAUGCUAUUAAUGGGAGUGGAAUAAUGAAUCCACUCAUGACUGUAUUUCCUUGCAUGAUCCAAAAGUUGAACAAAAUUUCAUGUCCUUCUUCCUCAUCUCAGCAAGACAACAACAUAUCAACUGUAUCACAAAGAAAAUGACCAAAAAAUACAUUGGAUUAUUUUCUUGUCCGGUCGAAUGGAGGAGUUAAUUUCUCAAGAGAGUACUCAACUACCAGUUAUUAUCUCAAAAUUAUUUCCUGAUAU